UUUCGAGUCAUUGCACUUAGAAGUGUAUUAAAUACGUCCGAAACAUUCAAUUAUAAACGAUUUAAUUAAAACGCAACGAGAUUCGUAAAAACGUUUUUUUACUAAUAUACUAUAAAUGAAGUUAGCAUAAAAUGAUUUAAUUGAGCUAACAAAUGUAUUAUUGUUCAAUCAAUUCAUAUGUAUGCCGACAUAUGAAUUGGCUUGGUUGAUUUACACAAAAUAAUAUGUGUGCUGACAUGUAAUCUAUGCCAAAAUAUGUAAAAUAUGCCGAAUAUGUAUGCCAAUGAUUUACACAAAAUAAUAUGUAUGCCGACAUAUGAAUUAGCAGAAUUAUGAAGGCUUCCGACAAGUUAAAGUAUUAUAACAAUACAAGAAGUCACUAAAACUAGGGAAAAUUUUUUUUUACCUAUUUGUGUUUUUAUCUGUAAGGGCAUACCAUUUAAAUUGGUUCAAUUAAUGACAAAAUUUUGAAGAAAAAGAAAUGACUGCAAUUUUAAAAAAUUCAUUUAUUAUUACAUUUAUAUAUAAAUAUGUUCACAACAAAAUAAAGUUUCAUUUCUAAAAACAAUGCAUCUUAUACGGUACCAUCGAUUUGGAUGCAAAUAUCACAUUUGAUCUAAAAAUAAAUAUUAAAUGUAUAUUUUUCUAUUUAAAUAUUUAAAGUAUUUUUUUCUAUUUGAAAUUUUUAUUAAAAAAUAAUUAAAAUAUAUUUUAUUACCCAUUUAACUUUUUUUUUAUUUUUUCUAGUUUUUGGACCAAUUUCACUUCCUCAAAUGCGACACAAACUAUUCUGCCAACUUUUCUGACCUAUUGAUUUAAUUUUUCAUCAUUUUUUUUGUCUUUUUUAUAGAUAUCAUUUAACAUUGAAGUAGUAUAAACAUUUUCAGUUCUCUAAAGAAUCUCACAAACCUCCUUUAUCUCUCUUUCUGUCUGCAUUAACUUCUACAUGUGGAAAGACUCGCACCAAUACUUCUCCGUUUGUAUAACUUUCAGCAAACUAAAAUAUAUAAUAUCUGGCAGAUAUAGUCAAACGAAUGAACGUGAAUACGACGGGAAAAAUCCUCGAAACAACCAUGGCGUUUCAUCACGUUUCCUUAUUCAAGCAUCCUAACGUGUUUUUUUACCGAAGUCUUUUUGAGUAUAUUUAUAUAUUAUUGUUUUAUUCAAGUAUUCGAUUAAAUUAUACAGGUUUUAA
rnacentral:lncRNA from 1 species